CGAUUUUCCAGCUCUUCCGUUCGCAAGCGUCUCAGCCCGUAUCAACUGCGAUCCAGCCGUCCCGACUUCAGCCAUCUGAGAUUGCAUCCAGAAUUCCAGCAUGCCACGUCCGCGUGCAAAAUCCACCGUGAUCUCAGCGUAUGCGUCCCAGCUCUUCCGUCUUCCUCGCAGUCCACACAUCUUAACAUCAGCGAUUCAUCCGUGAAGCCUCCCAGCAUGCCACGUCCGAAUCUCCCAGCAUCACAACGUCUGCAAGCAUCUUCUGCGAGCCAUUCACGGUUCAGAUCUCCCAAGCUACCACCGAGCGUCCAUGCUCCAGCUUCUCCCGUGAAGCUUCCCAUUUCCGCAUCCUCCGAACCAGCAUCCGAUUCUUCCGGGAUUCGCAAUCAUCCGAGUCCCAGUCAAGUAUCCGCUUUCGAAUCUCCCGCGCCCAACGCCUGCGAUCGUUCCGUGAUCCAAAUCCCAUGAUUCCGCGUUCGGAUAUUUCGCAACUGGAUCAGGGAUCCAUCGCACGAGCUAUAUGAGGCUUUCGCUCGGCUGGGGGGAUGUUAUUCCUUCCCAUUCGGUGAAACAGAGGAGUAGCCCUCUGUCAAAAGAAAAAAAAAGAAAGGGAAACAGGGCCUCCCCUGUUUCCGAAAAGAAAAAGAAAAAAAUGAAAGGGGNNNNNNNNNNNNNNNNNNNNGGGUCAACCCAACUCACUGUUCAUUUGUGCCAUUUUUGCAGGAGUGUGCCAGAUGACUUCUUGAUGUACCGGGGUCGACCCAAUCAACCUGUGGGUCGACUCAAACCACACUUUGCUGCAUUCUCAAGGUUAGAUUCAUCCAAAUGAACAAGGCCAUUUAUCCAUUUUCAAUUAAACAAAUAUACUGAGAGUAAUGAACUUAUAAAUGAAGUAUCAAUUUAACUUAUAGCAUGCUCUAGAUAAUUGCUUGUUAAUCAUCAAAAUAACACUAUCAUCCUCAG
rnacentral:lncRNA from 1 species